rnacentral:rRNA from 1 species
GACGAACGCUGGUGGCGUGCUUAACACAUGCAAGUCGAACGGAAAGGCCCUGCUUUUGUGGGGUGCUCGAGUGGCGAACGGGUGAGUAACACGUGAGUAACCUGCCCUUGACUUUGGGAUAACUUCAGGAAACUGGGGCUAAUACCGGAUAGGAGCUCCUGCUGCAUGGUGGGGGUUGGAAAGUUUCGGCGGUUGGGGAUGGACUCGCGGCUUAUCAGCUUGUUGGUGGGGUAGUGGCUUACCAAGGCUUUGACGGGUAGCCGGCCUGAGAGGGUGACCGGCCACAUUGGGACUGGGGUACGGCCCCGACUCCUACGGGAGGCCGCAGUGGGGAAUAUUGCACAAUGGGCGGAAGCCUUAUGCAGCAACGCCGCGUGCGGGAUGACGGCCUUCGGGUUGUAAACCGCUUUCGCCUGUGACGAAGCGUGAGUGGCGGUAAUGGGUAAAGAAGCACCGGCUAACUACGUG